CUAUACAUGACUCUGCGCAUAUCAAUAAGCGGAGGAAAAGAAACUAACAAGGAUUCCCUUAGUAACGGCGAGUGAAGCGGGAAGAGCUCAAAUUUGAAAUCUUCAAGGUUUUACCUUGACGAAUUGUAGUUUAAAGAAGUGUUUUCUGCUGAAGUUUUGGUAAAAGUUCUUUGGAAUAGGACAUCAUAGAGGGUGAGAAUCCCGUAUUUGACCAUUAUUUUCAGCUUUGUGAUACACUUUCAAAGAGUCGGAUUGUUUGGGAAUGCAGUCCAAAAUGGGUGGUAAAUUUCAUCUAAAGCUAAAUAUUGGCGAGAGACCGAUAGCGAACAAGUACCGUGAGGGAAAGAUGAAAAGAACUUUGAAAAGAGAGUUAAACAGUACGUGAAAUUGUCAAAAGGGAAGCGUUUGACACCAGUGUUGUUUUCUCGAAAAUCAAUUAAAAAUGGCUCGAUUUUGUAUUGCUUGAGACCUUAAAAGCUCACUGUACAUUUUUCGUGUCUUUUUUAAUGCACUUUUCGUUUAACAAGUCAACAUCAGUUUCUUUUGUUGUAAAAGGGUCAUUGGAAGGUGGCUUUCUUUUCGGAGAAAGUGUUUAUAGCCUCUGGCCUCUGCAAUCGGAGAGACUGAGGUCUGCAGCGUAGACUCUUCGGGGUUAGAUACAUUUGUGCUAAGUUAUAGCUUUUUAUAGACAACUUGUUGACUAUAAUUAGUCUUGUAGCUUACUCGCUUAUGCUAUUUUACCUACGCUUAGGAUGUUGAAGAUGUAGCACAUCAU
rnacentral:rRNA from 1 species